ACCUUCUUAAGGAGUGUAUGGUA
rnacentral:siRNA from 1 species